CCUACGGGAGGCAGCAGUGAGGGAUACGGGGGGUGCAAGCGUUGUUCGGAAUUAUUGGGCGUAAAGAGCGUGUAGGCGGCAGGAUGUGUCAGAUGUGAAAGCCCUGGGCUUAACCCAGGAAGUGCAUUUGAAACUAUCCAGCUUGAGUAGGGGAGAGGGAAGUGGAAUUCCUGGUGUAGAGGUGAAAUUCGUAGAUAUCAGGAGGAACACCGGUGGCGAAGGCGACUUCCUGGCCCUAUACUGACGCUGAGACGCGAGAGCGUGGGUAGCAAACAGGAUUAGAUACCCUGGUAGUCCACGCCGUAAACGAUGUUCACUAGGUGUUGGGGGUAUUGACCCCCUCAGUGCCGGAGCUAACGCGUUAAGUGAACCGCCUGGGGAGUACGGUCGCAAGACUAAAACUCAAAGGAAUUGACGGGGGCCCGCACAAGCGGUGGAGCAUGUGGUUUAAUUCGAUGCAACGCGAAGAACCUUACCUGGGCUUGACAUCCACGGAAUCUCCUGGAAACAGGGGAGUGCCCUUCGGGGAGCUAUGAG
rnacentral:rRNA from 1 species